CGGAGGGAUCCAUAGCAA
rnacentral:rRNA from 1 species